UUUAUGGAGAGUUUGAUCCUGGCUCAGGAUGAACGCUGGCGGCGUGCCUAAUACAUGCAAGUCGAGCGAACGGACGAGAAGCUUGCUUUUCUGAUGUUAGCGGCGGACGGGUGAGUAACACGUGGAUAACCUACCUAUAAGACUGGGAUAACUUCGGGAAACCGGAGCUAAUACCGGAUAAUAUUUUGAACCGCAUGGUUCAAAAGUGAAAGACGGUCUUGCUGUCACUUAUAGAUGGAUCCGCGCUGCAUUAGCUAGUUGGUAAGGUAACGGCUUACCAAGGCAACGAUGCAUAGCCGACCUGAGAGGGUGAUCGGCCACACUGGAACUGAGACACGGUCCAGACUCCUACGGGAGGCAGCAGUAGGGAAUCUUCCGCAAUGGGCGAAAGCCUGACGGAGCAACGCCGCGUGAGUGAUGAAGGUCUUCGGAUCGUAAAACUCUGUUAUUAGGGAAGAACAUAUGUGUAAGUAACUGUGCACAUCUUGACGGUACCUAAUCAGAAAGCCACGGCUAACUACGUGCCAGCAGCCGCGGUAAUACGUAGGUGGCAAGCGUUAUCCGGAAUUAUUGGGCGUAAAGCGCGCGUAGGCGGUUUUUUAAGUCUGAUGUGAAAGCCCACGGCUCAACCGUGGAGGGUCAUUGGAAACUGGAAAACUUGAGUGCAGAAGAGGAAAGUGGAAUUCCAUGUGUAGCGGUGAAAUGCGCAGAGAUGUGGAGGAACACCAGUGGCGAAGGCGACUUUCUGGUCUGUAACUGACGCUGAUGUGCGAAAGCGUGGGGAUCAAACAGGAUUAGAUACCCUGGUAGUCCACGCCGUAAACGAUGAGUGCUAAGUGUUAGGGGGUUUCCGCCCCUUAGUGCUGCAGCUAACGCAUUAAGCACUCCGCCUGGGGAGUACGACCGCAAGGUUGAAACUCAAAGGAAUUGACGGGGACCCGCACAAGCGGUGGAGCAUGUGGUUUAAUUCGAAGCAACGCGAAGAACCUUACCAAAUCUUGACAUCCUUUGACAACUCUAGAGAUAGAGCCUUCCCCUUCGGGGGACAAAGUGACAGGUGGUGCAUGGUUGUCGUCAGCUCGUGUCGUGAGAUGUUGGGUUAAGUCCCGCAACGAGCGCAACCCUUAAGCUUAGUUGCCAUCAUUAAGUUGGGCACUCUAAGUUGACUGCCGGUGACAAACCGGAGGAAGGUGGGGAUGACGUCAAAUCAUCAUGCCCCUUAUGAUUUGGGCUACACACGUGCUACAAUGGACAAUACAAAGGGCAGCGAAACCGCGAGGUCAAGCAAAUCCCAUAAAGUUGUUCUCAGUUCGGAUUGUAGUCUGCAACUCGACUACAUGAAGCUGGAAUCGCUAGUAAUCGUAGAUCAGCAUGCUACGGUGAAUACGUUCCCGGGUCUUGUACACACCGCCCGUCACACCACGAGAGUUUGUAACACCCGAAGCCGGUGGAGUAACCUUUUAGGAGCUAGCCGUCGAAGGUGGGACAAAUGAUUGGGGUGAAGUCGUAACAAGGUAGCCGUAUCGGAAGGUGCGGCUGGAUCACCUCCUUU
rnacentral:rRNA from 1 species